CUGUAGGCUGCAACUCGCCUACACGAAGUCGGAAUCGCUAGUAAUCGCGGAUCAGCAUGCCGCGGUGAAUACGUUCCCGGGCCUUGUACACACCGCCCGUCACACCAUGGGAGUUUGUAACACCCAAAGUCGGUGGCCUAACCUUUAUGGAGGGAGCCGCCUAAGGCGGGACAGAUGACUGGGGUGAAGUCGUAACAAGGUAUC
rnacentral:rRNA from 1 species